UUCAAUUAACUUUUUGGCUCACAUACACGUCCGCUCGACUGAUAUUUUAGAGCCGAUCUGCUCCACCUCUCUCAUCCACUCAUCCUUAUCCACUUCACCUCCUCCCUCUCUAUCUGCUCUCAAGUCCCGCUCGAUCUACUUAGAUCCAUCGCCCAUCAGCGCGAGCUUCCGCAGCAACCGUUUCUGUAGCAGAGGCGAGCUCGUCGCCAUGCGUGGCUACAACCACGACCUAGCUCAGAUCCAGAUCUCCGCCUUGCACUCCCACUGAUGCGGGCGUCAGCGGUACUCCGCUUUGCCGUAGCGACACUCGUGAUUACGGUGGUCCUCGUCGCCGCCAUGUACUUUUUGUUCUCACACCUAAUCAAUUUCAGAAGACAUUUGAUCCGGGAAGGCCUCCACGGCUCUAGCCUCGAGCAUUAGAGUUCUAGACUAGCGAAGCAAAGCAGUUUAGGAAAAAUCUACAGCAAGACUAACAUUUGGUAAAUUUUAUGAUUUUAUCUAGUCACAUAUUUGAAGAAGAAAAUUACAUUGUAUUCAUAGUAUAGAAUUAAGAAAUUUGCUUCUCAAGAAUGCCCGGAGUCGACUGAGUUUUCUGAUGAUUGCUUGUAAUAUUGUAUACAUAUGUGUUAAUGUAAGAAAGGUGUAAUACUCUUUUAGAUCCGUGAAUUUUGCCAA